GGUUCGCUAAACGCCGGAUUCGGCCGAAACGGGCUGAUUUCCAGCCGUUUUCACAGUUCCAGGGCUCCGCAAGUUGCGGGGCCCUUUUUGUUAACCAUUGCCCCCAAAGCAUUCCGCUCUGGAUCGGCCUACCGGCCCUUUUUUGCCAUACUCAGGGGGGCAUACUCGGCGCUUCACGGGCCUGUGACAGACUUGGGCAAGACUUGAUCAAGACUUGGGAUUGCUAAGGACUUGGGCAAACGAAGACUUGGAAAGACGUAACUGACAAGGCGCGGGGAUUGGUAAAUAUCGAUUAACCCUCCUGCCUUAGGACUA
rnacentral:misc_RNA from 1 species